rnacentral:lncRNA from 1 species
UUUAUUAAUAAUGAAGUAGUCUGAAUGAAAUACAAAGUAGUUCGAGAAACCAAAGGAAAAAAACUAAGAAAAAGAGUUACACGGCGAUCAUACACCAAUACCGACUAAAUCCAUCAGUAAACAGUACUAUGGUCCAAUCCUAUUAGCAUGCCGCCAUCCAUAUCGGUUGAAGAUAACCUGAGCUACCAUCUCAUAUCGGACACACCCAAUAACCAAAGGCUCCCUGGUUUUCACAGAAAUGAAUAAGGACCACAUAUUAUAUGUAACAAAAAUAAUAUCAUUAGAAACCACAUUCAAAUAUGAAUUCAACAAGAUAACUUUUGACGAAAUGCAUUAACAUUUUUCUAGUCAAAUAUGUAAUCAAACAAUGGGGAGUAGCAAACCAGGGAUACGGCACUACCAAAAAUGCUAAACGUACAAAGACUUACACGAAGUUACACGUUGAUUAUGAUUCUUUCUUUCUAACUAACUAUUUCCUCUAAUUUUCAAGGGGGUGAGGUCCUCAUCCUCCUUAAUCUCUAAUUAAAAUACACAUGCCUCUAAAAUCCAUGUAAAUCUAUGUAUGUAUAGCGACGUCAAAAUAAGCUGCCAAGUUACCCUUUAGCAUAGGGCUGUAGAAAAAGAAGAAGAAAACAAAAGAGAGGAACGGCACCAAAACAAUGGGAUUCGGCAUCAAUUAUUGCACGGGGCGAAGCAGCUGGUAGAUCCCAGAGAAGGGAAACGGAAAGUCUUUGGCGGCCGAAGACCGGCUUGGCUGGCGAGGAUGCAUUUCUGCCCGCGGUCUCCCAUUCUCCGCUCUCUUCUCCCUCUGUUCAAAAUAAGCUGCCCAAUAAUCCACAGCGCACUGCACAUAAUUCACAAUUCUUUUAUGGUUUCCGCGGAAUCCUGGACUCCAAAAUCCGAGCCGCUCCUCCUCGUUUUGGCCCCCACUGCAAUGCGCUGCAUGCCCCAGCCGAUCCCUCUAUUUAAACCAGGGCCUCCUCGCCUUCUCUCUGACUCCAUCCCAGCCCCUUCUGCCACAGCGCAGUGCGAGCGGCAGCAGACCUUUGUUUGGUACUUCCACCUCAGCUUUUGUCCGGCCGGUCCUCUUCCGCCGGCCGGCCCUGCGUCGCCUAGCUAGGUAGGUGCUCGGCCACUCACCCCCUUCGCCAUCCCAUCCUCCCAUGGCCUGUUUCUCUUGCGCAAGGAGCACGCAUCAUCUGCUUCUUUUUCCAACAAAGAAGGGAGAGCUUCGUCUCCUGUUUCCUGUUUUGGUUUUCCAACCAUGCGUCUACUGCUUCCUUGUUUUCUUCUUGAGGGUUAUAGUAGCAUCUACUCUUAACAGAGGUUUGCUGAUACAGAGUACGUGGUGUUAAUUCAUUUUAACUUAGCUGGGCACACAUGUCAGCAGCACGUAGUACUCAAGAUUCGUUCCAAGAGUAACACUUGCCGGUAGUAGAUCAGGUGUGGACGGUGGGGGCUCGGAAGGUCAAGGGUGUGGCCAAUGAGCUUGAUUUGUGAUCUGAUUACCACUUAAACUAAUGGGGUUUGUUAUUUUUUUGGAAGUGAGUGAGGGCGGUGUGCAUGACCCAAGAAGAUCUGCGGAAAAUUGUAGAAAACUGGAGUACCUCGCAUCAUGCCACGCUAGUACUAGUAUUGUAUACUGCUAAUCUUCGUGCAUGGGUUCAAACCAGGGUUGGUGUAUCUCUGGUUUGAAGGUCAUAAAUCAACACAGUUUCUUUAGAAAAUAUAUUAGUUUUUGUACAGGAAUAUAAAUGAUUUUUUUUAAAGAAUAUAAAUGAGUAAACUAUUUAUACGAGUUAUGAGUAUCCCUCUGUUAUUAUACCCUUCUUCAGCAGCAUAAUCAUGCAUAGAUGACAGCCAUAGAUAUUCUUGAAAACAAUUUGGGGACCGGAACAGAGUGGUAAUUACUAAUUAGCGUACAUCAAUUCUUCUUCAGUACUACAAAGUAAUUUGCUUCAACUAUUAUUAUUGUAUAAAAACAGAGCUAAGGUCACUUGUGCUUCAAUUAUAUGGAUGUUUUUUGAAAAAGGUAGUACCAUGUGACUGACAUGAGAAGCUUGCUGAUUGUUUAUCAGUGCAAUUCAUGAAAAAAUCUUCAAAGGAAAUGUUCACAUGCACAUGAUAUCAUAUCAUAAAUCUGAGCCUGCUCCCCACUGGUAGGCUGAUCCAACAACUAGAGAGUAAUUUUGAUCUCGUAUAGAUUAUAUUAAUGGUACUACUCCAGUACACGAUCACAAGGCAGACUUACUAAAAAUUGACAGCAACAAUUUUGACUAGAAUAUGGAAACAUGCAUUGCACCGCUCGUUACAUUUAUAGUACUAAUACUAUCCAAUGGAUCUUGAGUAGUAGUGGUUUAUUAGUCGCCUGCACUUGCUACCCAAUGGAUCUUGAGUAUAUUGCUUAGGAACAAAGGAAUCAUUCUUUUGGUUAGUUUCAAUGCUCCCACGCCGGUUUUAAGCCAGCCAGCCUCUUAAUUCUUGGAAAUGUAAAAAAGUUAUACUUACUUGGUUUUCACACCACUACCAUCUCAAAGUAUUGGAGCCAUUGACGCAGGCCAUAUAAGGAG